rnacentral:misc_RNA from 1 species
UACGUGAGCCCCAAGCGUUAUCCGGAUUUAUUGGGCGUAAAGAGUCUGUAGGCGUUUUGGAAAGUUUUUUGUCAAAUCCUGGAGCUCAACUCCAGGACCGCGGAAAAUACUUCCAGAAUAGAGGGUGGAAGAGGUAGAUGGAAUUGCCGGUGUAGCGGUAAAAUGCGUUAAUAUCGGCAAGAACACCAAAUGCGAAGGCUUUCUACUAGUACACACCUGACGCUGAGAGACGAAAGCGUGGGGAGCGAAUGGG